CCUACGGGAGGCAGCAGUGGGGAAUAUUGGACAAUGGGCGAAAGCCUGAUCCAGCCAUGCCGCGUGUGUGAAGAAGGCCUUCGGGUUGUAAAGCACUUUCAGUGGGGAAGAAAGCCUUGGGGCUAAUACCCUCGAGGAAGGACAUCACCCACAGAAGAAGCACCGGCUAACUCCGUGCCAGCAGCCGCGGUAAUACGGAGGGUGCGAGCGUUAAUCGGAAUUACUGGGCGUAAAGCGCGCGUAGGCGGUCUGAUAAGCCGGUUGUGAAAGCCCCGGGCUCAACCUGGGAACGGCAUCCGGAACUGUCAGGCUAGAGUGCAGGAGAGGAAGGUAGAAUUCCCGGUGUAGCGGUGAAAUGCGUAGAGAUCGGGAGGAAUACCAGUGGCGAAGGCGGCCUUCUGGACUGACACUGACGCUGAGGUGCGAAAGCGUGGGUAGCAAACAGGAUUAGAUACCCUAGUAUC
rnacentral:rRNA from 1 species